UGCUCAUUAAUAUAUUUGUAUUAUCACACGAGUUGGUGUAAUAUUAUAUACAAAAAUACGCACAUCACUCUUUCCAACAAUUUUAUUGUUAUAUCACACGCCUUGACGCUAUAUUAUUAUCUCUGCACGAUAUUACACUUUUACCAAGACUUUUACACAAUGAUGAUGGUCUUCGGUUUUGCGUGUCUCAGUCGCUGUUCUUUAUUGCGAUAUUUCACCAUGUUGUCAUAUUUAUUUUCGCAAGAGGUCAGCUCAGAUUUCUUGUCCGUCUUUUACUACAAUUUCGCGAAAAUGUUUACAUAAAAUUUGCUAAUUUCUCAGCUAAUAAAUAUUUUACUUAAUAGUGUGUGAGUUACAGUACUGAAGUAGAAUCGGACAUAAACAGUAGCACAAAGUAUUCUCCAUCAGUAAGCAGACCUAGUUUUCAAGCACGUUUCAAUUUUUGUCAACUGAUCCCAGAUACUGAUCCAAUCGUCAGGAAUAAAUUUUCCACUAUUCGUCCCCCCACCAUGAAGCAGGUAUUUAUGGCCCCGUGUACGCUAUUCGCUAACAAAAUGCACAUGCAAUCAAUAUCGAUACCUGGUUCGUAUCGGAUGCCUUGUUGAUCAACCCCCGGUCGUACUAUCUGGAUAUCUUUAACUGGAAAAUACUCCGGAUAUCUUUGGCACAGACACCGAUGGUGCCGUGGUUUAGAAAGUAUAAUAAAAUCGAUGUGCAGGAUGCAAAACAUGAAAAAGCAUGCGAAGCAACUGAUCCGCAAUACUCUGAUUCUUGCUUCGUAUCUUAGUGAGUUGAAGUCUAAAGGGAGCAUCAACAAUGUGGACGAUAUUCAGUUCCUGUACACUAUGUACUAUGUAGUUGACGUUGUGAAUGAACGGAGAAAACUUGCUGGCCGUAUAGCAGUUUGACCGGACAUCUGCACGAUGGUUGAUCUGUCGCCGAAUAUUGAACUAAGUACAUUCAGUCAUUUGAAGGGUGAGCAGUUUACAGUUAGAUUGCUUACAAGCGAGUAUUAGUUUAUUGAUUUACCUCAAUCAGAGCGUUCUGCUUUAAGCGAAUAGCCUUAACAGUAUUGUGAGGAACCUCUCCCAACAUAAGCAUUGAUUUCAGCACCACAAAUACGCUUGAAAAUGGUGGUGAUUAGGUAUUCUCCAGCUGGCCGUAAAUGUGCGCCUACCCUCUGCGAAAAUUAUUUCUAGCCAUACACGUGCAUGCUGGAGAAUUUCUGUACAGGGGGUCCUUUUUUGAGCAUGGACCAAUUGUAGUGCCAUCUCGUUAUUCAGAUCCGUUUUUCAAUAGAAUCUUCUAUUGCACUAAUUCUUUCUUGAAUGUAUUUUUUAUUAUUAGUUUUUUAAUUAAUCGACCAUUAAUUAUUUUCUAAAAUGUAUUCCUAGUUACCAGAUUUUAUGAAUAAUCUCUUAGGCCGAUUUCAACAGCUUCAACAGGGUGUUGCACUAGUGGCAGAUCCCUUGUGAUGCAUUUUUUAAAAUCAGCUAAAUUAAGGUUCAAGUAACCUUUUUGAGCAUGUGUUAGAUUUGAACGCUGGGUAGUAUGGGUAGGAAAAAAUGUGUUCAGCUUUGCCACCGGAUUAUCCGUUUAAACCUUUUCAAAACUCUAUACUCUAAAAGAAGAAUAUCAGCUGAUUUAUUAGGUCACAACGAUUCAAAUCAUACAAAAUAGCUGCUGGAAAAACUAUCGGUUACGCUAAAUGGUGCUUUUGAAAAAGUGGCUGUGAUUUUUUGUCGCUACCACUCCUGAACAUGCCCUAAAGUAAUUGCCAAAGGGGCCGUUCAUAAAUUAUGUCGCGUAUUUACAGUUAAGGAAGAGCGUGACGUAACAUGAAUUAUCGAGAUAUAAAAUAAAAAUUUUGACGGACAUGUGAUUGGGGUUCGGAAGUCGAAUGUCGGAGUUCACUUGGGGGGUGCCUUUGUUAUCCAGGCAUGGUUCUGUGGUUAUUCCGUGUAGUGCGUAAGUUUUGCUGAAUUGACAGUGGACCACAUAAUUGAUGUCCAAGUGCCCGACCUGAUUAUAUUGGGAUAUGCUAGUAUGGCCGUAGUGCCCUAGCGGAUAUAUGCUCAAAUAUUUUAAACUUAUUUGUUCGAAGGAUGUCUGUUCUCUGUGACUUAGCUAUAUUUUAAAAUUUUAUUAUCGAACAAAAUGAUGAUUAAUACAU